AGAGUUUGAUCCUGGCUUAUGGUGAACGCUGGCGGUAUGGAUAAGGCAUGCAAGUCGAAUGGGUUUAGACCCAUGGCAGACGAGGUAGUAACACGUAGGAACGUACCCAGAAGUCGGGCAUAACCCAUCGAAAGGUGGGAUAACUCCCGAUGGUCUCCCAAGAGUAAAGAUUUAUCGCUUCUGGAGCGGCCUGCGUAAUAUCAGCUAGUUGGUGAGGUAAUGGCUCACCAAGGCUAUGACGUUUAGGGGACCUGAGAGGGUGACCCCCACCGAUGAUACUGAGACACGGAUCAUACCCCUACGGGGGGCUGCAGCCGAGAAUAUUCGACAAUGGGCGCAAGCCUGAUCGAACGAUUCCUUUCUGUGAAAGAAACGUUUCUCCCGAAAAACCUUUUAUGAGAAAAAAGUUUUUUGCCUUUCUUCCUCCCAUGAAUAAGGGGCUCCUAACUCUGUGCCAGCAGGAGCGGUAAUACAGAGGCCCCGAGCGUUACCGGGAAUUACUGUGCGUAAAGAGUGCGUAGGUGGUCGUGUUAGUCGUUUGUU
rnacentral:rRNA from 2 species